AGAGUUUGAUCCUGGCUCAGGAUGAACGCUGGCGGCGUGCUUAACACAUGCAAGUCGAACGGAGUUUUUAAACGGAAGUUUUCGGAUGGAAGUUUAGAAACUUAGUGGCGGACGGGUGAGUAACGCGUGGGUAACCUGCCUCAUACAGGGGGAUAACAGUUAGAAAUGACUGCUAACACCGCAUAAUAUAGCGAAACCGCAUGAUUUUUGCUAUCAAAUAUUUAUAGGUAUGAGAUGGGCCCGCGUCUGAUUAGCUAGUUGGUGGGGUAAAAGCCUACCAAGGCGACGAUCAGUAGCCGGCUUGAGAGAGUGACCGGCCACAUUGGGACUGAGACACGGCCCAAACUCCUACGGGAGGCAGCAGUGGGGAAUAUUGGACAAUGGGGGAAACCCUGAUCCAGCCGACGCCGCGUGAGUGAAGAAGUAUUUCGGUAUGUAAAGCUCUAUCAGCAGGGAAGAUAAUGACAGUACCUGACUAAGAAGCCCCGGCUAACUACGUGCCAGCCGCCGC
rnacentral:rRNA from 1 species